rnacentral:rRNA from 1 species
AUUGAACGCUGGCGGCAGGCCUAACACAUGCAAGUCGAACGAGUGGCGAACGGGUGAGUAAUGUCUGGGAACCUGCCUAGUGGCGGGGGAUAACUACUGGAAACGGUAGCUAAUACCGCAUACCAUCGGAUGUGCCCAUAUGGGAUUAGCUAGUAGGUGGGGUAACGGCGCACCUAGGCGACGAUCCAUAGCUGGUGUGAGAGGAUGACCAGCCACCCUGGAACUGAGACACGGUCCAGACUCCUACGGGAGGCAGCAGGGGGGAAUAUUGCACAAUGGGGGAAAGCCUGAUUCAGCCAUGCCGCGUGUGUGAAGAAGGCCUUCGGGUUGUAAAGGACUUUCAGCAGAGAAGCGGUAUCUGCAGAAUAAGCACCGGCUAACUACGUGCCAGCCGCCGCGGUAAUUC